ACGGGAGGCAGCAGUGGGGAAUAUUGGGCAAUGGGCGAAAGCCUGACCCAGCAACGCCGCGUGAGGGAAGAAGGCUUUCGGGUUGUAAACCUCUGUCCUUGGUGACGAACACAAUGACGGUAGCCAAGGAGGAAGCCCCGGCUAACUACGUGCCAGCAGCCGCGGUAAUACGUAGGGGGCGAGCGUUGUCCGGAAUUACUGGGUGUAAAGGGAGCGUAGGCGGGACUGUAAGUCAGAUGUGAAAUAUGCCGGCUCAACUGGCAGACUGCAUUUGAAACUGCGGUUCUUGAGUGAAGUAGAGGUAAGCGGAAUUCCUAGUGUAGCGGUGAAAUGCGUAGAUAUUAGGAGGAACAUCAGUGGCGAAGGCGGCUUACUGGGCUUUAACUGACGCUGAGGCUCGAAAGCGUGGGGAGCAAACAGGAUUAGAUACCCUGGUA
rnacentral:rRNA from 1 species